rfam:Triticum aestivum genome assembly, contig: Triticum_aestivum_CS42_TGACv1_scaffold_290112_4AL
UAUAUAUAUAUUUAGUACGUAAAAGUUGGCAACUAUUUUUUAGCUCAUGAGAAUCGGUGAUCCGCUUGUGCAAAGACUACCCCUAUACGAUGAUAGCUUCCGUCGGCUCAUGCUAUAAGGUGUUGGGUUACAUCUCGCAACAUGCGCAACCCUUGUGUUUAGUUGCCACUAUGAGCUUUGAACCCUGAAAAGACCGCCAAUGUUAGGUUGGAGGAAGAAGGGGAUGAAGCCAAGUCAUCUUAACCCUUAUGCCCUUGGCGACACAUAUGCUAGUAUGGGUGGGACAAAGGGUGAGAUGACUCCAAAAGCCUAUCCUUAGUUCGGAUAGCAGGCUGCAACUUGCCUCCAUGAAG